CAAAAAUAAAAAAAUGGGGGCCCUCCUUAGAACCACCAAUCUCGAAGUCCUUAGAAGGAGGAUCAGCAACCUUCACCACCAAGGAGGUACACCAACUACACUCUGCUAAACACACCUAGGACUCAGGUGUUAAUGUAAAUAAGAGAACACCUCCUAGAAGCAAGGAUGGUAGACUUCAUCUGAAAGUCAACUAUCUAUCGAUUCGGUCUACUCCGAGUGCUGUUUAUUGAUAAUAGGCGUCAGUUCACAGGGGCCAAAUUUGAAGAAUUUUGUGA
rnacentral:lncRNA from 1 species